rnacentral:miRNA from 1 species
UGAUUUCAAAGAUGUGGGUGUUU